rnacentral:rRNA from 1 species
UACGUAGGGUGCAAGCGUUGUCCGGAAUUAUUGGGCGUAAAGAGCUCGUAGGCGGUCUGUCACGUCGGCUGUGAAAUCCCGAGGCUCAACCUCGGGUCUGCAGUCGAUACGGGCAAACUAGAGUAUUGCAGGGGAGACUGGAAUUCCUGGUGUAGCGGUGGAAUGCGCAGAUAUCAGGAGGAACACCGGUGGCGAAGGCGGGACUCUGGGCCGAUACUGACGCUGAGGUGCGAAAAGCGUGGGGGAGCAAACAGG